GACGGACGCUGGCGGCGUGCUUAACACAUGCAAGUCGAACGGAAAGGCCCUGCUUUUGUGGGGUGCUCGAGUGGCGAACGGGUGAGUAACACGUGAGUAACCUGCCCUUGACUUUGGGAUAACUUCAGGAAACUGGGGCUAAUACCGGAUAGGAGCUCCUGCUGCAUGGUGGGGGUUGGAAAGUUUCGGCGGUUGGGGAUGGACUCGCGGCUUAUCAGCUUGUUGGUGGGGUAGUGGCUUACCAAGGCUUUGACGGGUAGCCGGCCUGAGAGGGUGACCGGCCACAUUGGGACUGAGAUACGGCCCAGACUCCUACGGGAGGCAGCAGUGGGGAAUAUUGCACAAUGGGCGGAAGCCUGAUGCAGCAACGCCGCGUGCGGGAUGACGGCCUUCGGGUUGUAAACCGCUUUCGCCUGUGACGAAGCGUGAGUGACGGUAAUGGGUGAAGAAGCACCGGCUAACUACGUG
rnacentral:rRNA from 1 species